AUCGGGUUCAAUUGAAAACCCUAGAAGCAAAAUGCAGCGAACUUUCUUCUCCCUAUCGUGCUCUCCGUUUUUCUCGAUAUCGCCAUUGAAGGGGCCUUCGAAGCUCUCAUAUCUCUCUUGGCCUGCUAUGAAUAAACAACAACAACACCACCAUACUGUUCUCUCUCGAUCGCUCUUUUGCGAAUAACCACAACAAACAGCACACAGUCAUGAAUUCAUUGCGAAAUCGACACACAAAUCGAAUCCCAACAUGACCCUAAGCCCCCAAUCUCAAUAUUUGCCACGGAUACAUAUUACAGCAAUUCAAACAAUGAAAGAAAAUAUGAAAACAGGCAUAAACAACAAUGGAAUUGAAGAAAUCAAAGGGCUACCACGAAAAAAAUUUGAUUUGAAUCCAGGUAUGAUUCUGUGUUCUCUUUGAUUCUGCUUCUUCUCCUUCUGUUCGUUCUGUUCGUUCUGUUGUUGCUCUGUGUCGGUUGUGUGGUGGGUGAGGCUCGAUUCUGAUGGAGUGUUGUUGUGAGGUUGUUUGGAGAGUGAAGUGUUAUGAGAGGUUAAACGUGAAGGCUCGUUGGUGUAUGAAAGUUUCUGCAGGGUCUUUGAGGUGGUGUGAGUAUGAUUUGAAGAAAACAAAAGUGUGAAAAAUUCAAAGGUGAUGAAGAUGUAUGGUCGUAAUGGUUUGGUGAUGGUAUGAAGAUGUGAAGGGAUUUUCUCAGGGAUUUGUUCUACCAUUUCUAUGCAAUGUUUGGCAUGCUGUGUGCAGCAAGGGUGCAUAGUUUUUGGAGAGUAGUGUUGGUUCAGGGCAAGCUUGACAAAUGAUGGUACAAAUAUGCAGAGUGCUGUUGGUGAAGGCAGAGGCGUGGGAUAGAGCAAGAAGUGAAGACAAAAUAUGUUAUUAUUUUUUGUUUUCUUUUAGUGUAAAAAAAAAAUGUAAAUGGACCUUAUAGAAGAGAAUAAAUUGGGCCAAAACACACAAAGCCUUUUUGCA